rnacentral:rRNA from 1 species
UACGAGGGGGGCAAGCGUUGUUCGGAAUUAUUGGGCGUAAAGGGCGCGUAGGCGGUUUGACAAGUCUGAUGUGAAAUCUAUGGGCUCAACCCAUAGCCUGCAUUAGAAACUGUCGGGCUUGAGUAUGGGAGAGGUGAGUGGAAUUGCGAGUGUAGAGGUGAAAUUCGUAGAUAUUCGCAAGAACACCAGUGGCGAAGGCGGCUCACUGGCCCGAUACUGACGCUGAGGUGCGAAAGCGUGGGGAGCAAACAGG